rnacentral:rRNA from 1 species
CCUACGGGAGGCAGCAGUGGGGAAUAUUGCGCAAUGGGGGAAGCCCUGACGCAGCAACGCCGCGUGGAGGAAGAAGGUCUUCGGAUUGUAAACUCCUGUCUUCAGGGACGAAUUAAUGACGGUACCUGAGGAGGAAGCCACGGCUAACUACGUGCCAGCAGCCGCGGUAAU